UCCGGCUUAUACCGGCAGUCCCACUAAAGUGCCAAACUUAAUUGGGGCAACUAGUGGUAAGGGUUGCGCUCGUUGCGUCACUUAAGACAACAUCUCACGACACGAGCUGACGACAGCCAUGCAGCACCUGUGUCUAGGUUCCCGAAGGCACAACCUAAUCUCUUAGGUCUUCCUAGCAUGUCAAGAGCAGGUAAGGUUUUUCGCGUGACAUCGAAUUAAUCCACAUCAUCCACCGCUUGUGCGGGUCCCCGUCAAUUCCUUUGAGUUUUAAUCUUGCGACCGUACUCCCCAGGCGGUCUACUUCUCGCGUUAGCUUCGCUACUGAGACGAAUCCCAACAGCAAGUAGACAUAGUUUACAGCGUGGACUAC
rnacentral:misc_RNA from 1 species